ACAGAUGGGAGCUUGCUCCCUGAUGUUAGCGGCGGACGGGUGAGUAACACGUGGGUAACCUGCCUGUAAGACUGGGAUAACUCCGGGAAACCGGGGCUAAUACCGGAUGGUUGUUUGAACCGCAUGGUUCAGACAUAAAAGGUGGCUUCGGCUACCACUUACAGAUGGACCCGCGGCGCAUUAGCUAGUUGGUGAGGUAACGGCUCACCAAGGCAACGAUGCGUAGCCGACCUGAGAGGGUGAUCGGCCACACUGGGACUGAGACACGGCCCAGACUCCUACGGGAGGCAGCAGUAGGGAAUCUUCCGCAAUGGACGAAAGUCUGACGGAGCAACGCCGCGUGAGUGAUGAAGGUUUUCGGAUCGUAAAGCUCUGUUGUUAGGGAAGAACAAGUGCCGUUCAAAUAGGGCGGCACCUUGACGGUACCUAACCAGAAAGCCACGGCUAACUACGUGCCAGCAGCCGCGGUAAUACGUAGGUGGCAAGCGUUGUCCGGAAUUAUUGGGCGUAAAGGGCUCGCAGGCGGUUUCUUAAGUCUGAUGUGAAAGCCCCCGGCUCAACCGGGGAGGGUCAUUGGAAACUGGGGAACUUGAGUGCAGAAGAGGAGAGUGGAAUUCCACGUGUAGCGGUGAAAUGCGUAGAGAUGUGGAGGAACACCAGUGGCGAAGGCGACUCUCUGGUCUGUAACUGACGCUGAGGA
rnacentral:rRNA from 1 species